GGCAGCAAACUCAAAUUUGUUGACGGCGUGUAGGUAUCAUAUUCGAUGACACUCCUCUAUGUACAAAGAGGGGCAACCGCGAGGAGGAAGCCAACCAGCACAACUGGACAAGAGCGGAGCAGAGAAGAGUACAUGCCGAACGGAUAAUGGAACGGCAUGCAAUCUUGACUCGAAUGCGACCUAGGCCAUGUUUAGUUACUCCCAACUCCCAACUUUGACACUAUGCAAAAAGAAGAUUCCCCAUCACAUCAAACUUGCGGUACAUGCAUGGAGUACUAAAUGUAGAUGAAAUUAAAAACUAAUUGCACAGUUUUGUUGUACUUUGCGAGACGAAUCUUUUGAGCCUAAUUAGUCAAUAUUUGGACAAUAAUUCACAAAUACAAACGAAACGCUACAGUGUGCUACAGUGCUGUAACAGUAAUUUAGCACCCCCAAAUUCGCCAAACUAAACACGGCCCUAGCCACCUAGGCAACUAGGAGUACAAAACAUACAUGUGAGGGGCCCAGCCGUUGGUCUCUGAUCGCAAAAUAUCUGACGGUCACGGAACAAAGCUCGCAUACCUGUGGCCCCCGCCAACAAUCGGCACGCGGGCCUCCACACUCC
rnacentral:lncRNA from 1 species